UACGUACGAGGCGAGCGUUAUCCGGAAUUACUGGGCGUAAAGCGCGCGCAGGUGGCUUGCUAAGUCGGACGUGAAAUCUCCCGGCCUAACUGGGAGGGGUCGUCCGAGACUGGCCGGCUUGAGGCUGGCAGAGGUAGGUGGAAUUCCUGGUGUAGUGGUGAAAUGCGUAGAGAUCAGGAGGAACACCGGUGGCGAAGGCGGCCUACUGGGCCAGCACUGACGCUGAGGCGCGAAAGCUCGGGGGAGCGAACGGGG
rnacentral:rRNA from 1 species